rnacentral:rRNA from 1 species
CACGUAGGGUGCGAGCGUUGUCCGGAAUUAUUGGGCGUAAAGAGCUCGUAGGCGGUGUGUCGCGUCGGCCGUGAAAACCUGCAGCUUAACUGUGGGCUUGCGGUCGAUACGGGCAUCACUGGAGUUCGGCAGGGGAGACUGGAAUUCCAGGUGUAGCGGUGAAAUGCGUAGAUAUCUGGAGGAAUACCGGUGGCGAAGGCGGCAUCCUGGACCGACAUUGACGCUGAGGAGCGAAAGCUAGGGGAGCAAACGGG